rnacentral:rRNA from 1 species
AACGAACGCUGGCGGCAUGCCUAACACAUGUAAGUCGAACGAGACCUUCGGGUCUAGUGGCGCACGGGUGCGUAACGCGUGGGAACCUGCCCUUAGGUUCGGAAUAACUCCCCGAAAGGGGUGCUAAUACCGGAUAAUGUCUUCGGACCAAAGAUUUAUCGCCUUUGGAUGGGGCCGGGUUGGAUUAGCCGGUUGGUAGGGUAAAAGCCUACCAAGGCGACGAUCCAUAGCUGGUCGGAGAGGAGGAUCAGCCACACUGGGGCUGCGGCACGGCCCAGACUCCUACGGGGAGCAGCAGUGGGGAAUAUUGGACGCUGGGCGAUAGCCUGAUCCAGCAGUGCCGCGUGAGUGAUGAAGGCCUUAGGGUUGUAAAGCUCUUUUACCCGGGAUGAUAAUGACAGUACCGGGAGAAUAAGCUCCGGCUAACUCCGUG